AUUUUCAACACCACUGCGUCACCAUCCAAUGCAGCCAGCCCAGAGACACAGACUGCGAUCAGUGUUACACCGGGUUACUAUAGUAAUUAUUCUACAGGAAGUUCCACUGCAAACACUCCUCAAGGCAGCGCUCAUGCAGACAGAUCCUUCCUCAUCAUUGUACCUGUAGCAGUGAUCCUGCUGCUGCUGCUGCUGGUCCUGGUGACAGGUCUCUGGUUACAUAAACGAAAACAGCAGAGAGAAGCGAGAUCUGCGCCUGAAGUGGAACAUCAGACAGAAGUCUCGGUGCAUUAUGGGAACUUGGGCGCCCACAUUGGGUUACAGCAGUGGGAUGGACGUGUAGAAGAUACAUGAAGAAAGGGACCCUGGCGACUGUGAAUCCUGCCUGUAAUGCCUGCUAAACGCAGCCUGAUGUCUGUAUCUGUGCCUUCAUGCUACAUGCUGCAGUUGAUAAGUUUCAUUCUACUGAAUCCACUGAGAGGCGUAAUGGUGAGACACUAUAUACACAGCAAAGGUAUUUAGUGAAUAAUUGCUCCCUACUUGGUUACAUUCUGACACUUUAGCUUUAUUUAGGAUUCUGUUACAGUGUAGAAAAGAUGGUUGACUUUUUUUUCCUUUUAUGGACUGAUCUGAUAUAUAUUAUGGAAGUAUUCUUUAUUACAAAAAAGGCGAAAGCAGUUGUACUGAAAUGUGAAUCAAUGCUUUUCAUUUUCCGUUUGUCGUAUACAUCCAUGUGUGUGACGUAAGGUGGAAUAAUGGCGUUACGGAAGUGCGAAAAGUGAAACGCAAGCGGCAUUUGUCUAAUCAAGGAAAACGCAUCCGAUGUACUCCAUGAUAAUGGCUCUCUGUAACCUCGUCUGUCCUUCUUAA